rnacentral:rRNA from 1 species
GGUGGGGGGCAGGGGCUAACACAUGCAGUCGAGCGGAUGAAGGGAGCUUGCUCCUGGAUUCAGCGGCGGACGGGUGAGUAAUGCCUAGGAAUCUGCCUGGUAGUGGGGGACAACGUUUCGAAAGGAACGCUAAUACCGCAUACGUCCUACGGGAGAAAGCAGGGGACCUUCGGGCCUUGCGCUAUCAGAUGAGCCUAGGUCGGAUUAGCUAGUUGGUGAGGUAAUGGCUCACCAAGGCGACGAUCCGUAACUGGUCUGAGAGGAUGAUCAGUCACACUGGAACUGAGACACGGUCCAGACUCCUACGGGAGGCAGCAGUGGGGAAUAUUGGACAAUGGGCGAAAGCCUGAUCCAGCCAUGCCGCGUGUGUGAAGAAGGUCUUCGGAUUGUAAAGCACUUUAAGUUGGGAGGAAGGGUUGUAGAUUAAUACUCUGCAAUUUUGACGUUACCGACAGAAUAAGCACCGGCUAACUCUGUGCCAGCAGCCGCGGUAAUACAGAGGGUGCAAGCGUUAAUCGGAAUUACUGGGCGUAAAGCGCGCGUAGGUGGUUUGUUAAGUUGGAUGUGAAAUCCCCGGGCUCAACCUGGGAACUGCAUCCAAAACUGGCAAGCUAGAGUAUGGUAGAGGGUGGUGCGAAUUUCCUGUGUAGCGGCGAAAUGCGUAUAUAUAGGAAGGAACACCAGCGGCGAAGGCGACCACCUGGACUGAUACUGACACUGAGGUGCGAAAGCGUGGGGAGCAAAAAGGAUUAGAAUACCCUGGUAGUCCCACGC